CAAAUAUUUCCUUUUUGCAUCAGUCAUAAUUCUUGCCAGACCAUAACCUUGUGGCUUUUGCCUUUAUAAGCCCCUGAUUCCCUCUUCCCCAGAAUACUCUUUUGGUUUUACCUGAAUCUGUGACUCCCGAAUUGCAAUUCUUAGGACCCCAAAUAAGGCUCUUUGUUUUCUGAAGCCUUGAUACUGAUUAUUCUUCAACAGCUGCCAUCUACCAGUUAAAGAUAAAGCCACCAUCUGAUGUCACGAUGUCGGGCACAUCUCACUGACAGAAGACAUUGUGAAAUGAUUGACAGAGGCUUUGCAUCUUCCAUGUUGGGGGCAUAAAACCACCCCCCCAGGCCAACAUGAGUGUCUAGGAACACACAGGAGGCCCCACCUCCGCAGCAUAUGGGCUCUACAGACGUCUGAAAUCCAGGUGUUGGCUGGGCUGUGCUCCCUCCAGAGGCUCUUCCAGCUUCUGGUGGCUCCGGUGUUCCUUGGCUUGUGGCUGCAUCACUCCAAUCUCUGCCUCUAUCUCCAUAUUGGAAACGUGUUCACAUUAUGAUUUUUAGAAGAAUUUUCUUCUAUCUCCAUGGCCACCUCUGAGUGACAUGCCAUCUCCUGCUGACCCUUUGGCCCAGUAAAUUAGCAGUUACCUCGGAAACAAGGUAUUCUAUGUUACAUCGUUAACUCCUUACAAUGACCCUGAAUCAGGGCUCUUGAGCUCAGGCAGCAGAACCAGUUAAACAAGGAAAGAGAGGGAGAAAGAGGCAGAAGGAAGGAGUCAGCACUGCCUUCAUUCUACACAUUGAGAAAAAGGAGGCUCAGAGAGAUGCUGACCUCACGGUAACAGUUGAGGAUCUUGCUCCUGCCCCUCCAAAAGGCAAGAAACAUUAAUGCUUUCUGGGCCACCAGCUGUAAGAUGCUUGCUUGCUAUCAGCGUUCCUCCUCAUUCUACUAUUGUGAAGAGCUCUUUUGCUUAAGACUUGUAUACCUAUCAACA